UUCUGGUUGAUCCUGGCGGAGGUCACUGCUAUUGGGAUUCGACUAAGCCAUGCGAGUCGAGAGGGUUCGGCCCUCGGCUGACUGCUCAGUAACACGUGGAUAAUUUGCCCUAAGGUGGAGGAUAACCUCGGGAAACUGAGAAUAAUACUCCAUAGGUCUAAGAUACUGGAAUGUUCUUAGACUAAAAACUCCGGUGCCUUAGGAUAAGUCUGCGGACUAUCAGGUUGUAGUCAGGGUAAAGACCUGACUAGCCUAUGACGGAUAUGGGUUGUGGGAGCAAUAACCCAGAGAUGAUAUCUGAGACACGAUAUCAGGCCCUACGGGGCGCAGCAGGCGCGAAAACUUCACACUGCGCGAAAGCGCGAAGAGGGAAUCCCAAGUGCUUGCACGUAAGUGUAAGCUGUUUCUUUGUUUAAAAAGCAUAGAGAGUAAGGGCUGGGUAAGACGGGUGCCAGCCGCCGCGGUAAUACCUGCAGCUCAAGUGGUGAUCGUUAUUAUUGGGCCUAAAACGAUCGUAGCCGGUUUAGUAAAUGCCUGGGUAAAUUGUGUAGCUCAACUAUACGACUUCCGGGUAGACUGCUAAACCUGAGACCGGGAGAGGCUAGAGGUACUCCUGGGGUAGAGGUGAAAUUCUGUAAUCCUGGGGGGACCACCAGUGGCGAAGGCGUCUAGCUAGAACGGGUCUGACGGUGAGGAACGAAACCCUGGGGCGCAAACCGGAUUAGAUACCCGGGUAGUCCAGGGCGCAAACGCUGCUUGCUUGAUGUUAGUCGGGCUCCGAGCUCGACUAGUGUCGGAGAGAAGUUGUUAAGCAAGCUGCCUGGGAAGUACGAUCGCAAGACUGAAACUUAAAGGAAUUGGCGGGGGAGCACAGCAACGGGUGGAGCGUGCGGUUUAAUUGGAUUCAACGCCGGAAAACUCACCGGAGGCGACGGUUAUAUGAAGGUCAGGCUGAUGACCUUGCCAGAUUUUCCGAGAGGUGGUGCAUGGCCGCCGUCAGUUCGUACCGCAAGGCGUUCUGUUAAGUCAGACAACGAGCGAGACCC
rnacentral:rRNA from 1 species